UAUUAAAAAAAAAGAAAUUUAAGCAGCCCAAACGAGAUUUUUAGAUUUACAUUAUGUAUACAGUAAAACAAUGGUGGUUUAUUUGUGAAAUAUUACUCAGUUAUUCUUCAAAUUAUUAGUUUUUGAACACUGGCAGGACAUAGGGAACUUUUUGAUGCAUGAAAUUUAUACAUAGAUAACCUGGUACCCUGAAAAUUUAUUAUCAGACUUGGAACCAGAGUGCAGUCCUUCUGAAUUCUGGGGUAUAAUUCUUUCAGCCUUACUCUGGAGUCUACUAGACUUCUCCCACAAUUCCAUGGGACAUGUGAGAUGUCCUGCAGAGAAGCAUCUUCUUUCUCAGUGGAAUUUUAAGAAGACAAUCAGAGGGCAGGGUUAGGUUUUUAUCCUGGAAACUUACUAAAGGGGCAGAGAUCAUAAUUUUUCUGUCAUGAUUUGUAGAACUAAUUUGCUAUAUCCUUUAUGGGGAUUGGAUUAUCCAAUUUACAACUCUACCUGGUUUAUUGCUGAGAUCAUCAGACUUAUGAAUUAAACAUAAUAACAAAGUUGCUUGCUGUGUUCCUUUUAAGGUUGAUGUAACAGACAUCCUCUGAGAUGACAUCUAAUGAUAUUUAUAUAAUCCCUUUUUGUGUAAUCCACAGAGAACUAGUAGGCUUGAUUUAGUGACUUGCUUCUAGUGAAUAGAAUACAGCAAAAGUCAGGGAAUGUCACCUCCAGGUUAUAAAAGAUUGUGGCUUCCAUUUUGGGGAUUUUUUGGCUCUCUCAUUUUCUCCUGAAUCACUUACAGCUUUGGGGAAAUCAGCUGCAAGUCAUGAGGCAGCCCUGUGGAGAGACCUACCUGAGAGCUGAAGAUGCAGUGAAACCUAAAUAAACUAAUUUCCAGAAAGAUGACAAGCCCUUCACAAGAGAGAAGAGUUCCACAGCUGUUCGCAUUUCAGGCCAAGGAGCAGAAGAGGAGGUACCUACCAUAAAAGCAGGGUCACCAGAAGUAUGCUGACCCACACCUCUGCAGUUUCUCAAGACAGCAGUCAUUCCUCACUUGUUCUCAACUGGAGAACUUAAGGUAUGUUUUUUUUUUUUUUUAUGGGGGAUGAGGGCAAUUCUCUUUGUGCCAGUUUCUGUGUAGGUCAAGUAUGGAAGUAAUCUCAUAUUAAUAUAUACACAAAUACACACAUAUGCAUACAUACAUGCAUAUAUGUACAUACAUAUACAUGCAUGUACGUAUAUGUAUAUGUAUAUAAUGCAUAUAUAUGAAACACCUUAAUAAAAAUAGUAUUAUUUGGUGUUUACUAUGUGUGAAACAUAUGACUUAAGUGGAUAACCUUCUCUUAAUAAAUUGACUCAAAACUGUUUUAUAAAUACUUUUACUUUGUGUUAUUCUUUCAAUCACUUCAAUUAGUCACAAGAUUUGCCAUCUGAAAGUUACCAUGUCAGAUUUUGUGAAUCAGUGUAAUACGAUGAAUGUGGCCUAGUUUCUGCCUUCAAGAAGUCUACACUGUAUUUCUCAAGAUAAAACUUCUAAACAAAUACAUAUUGGGCAGAAGGUAAUGAGUUUUGUAAGAAAUAUACACAUUAACUAUUAUAAGACUUUUAUAGAAUAGAGACAUUCUUUCCACAUAAAAAUACAAAGCAAAGAUUUCACAGAGAUGAUGAAAUUUGAUGUGAGCCCUAAGUAAUUUUGGAAAGGAUUUUGAUGGACUUCGUAUAUACCAGGACCUCUACUUUCAGAAACUUACUCAAUGAAUUUGAGCAAAAGAGUAACUUGCUAGAAGGAUAUUGAGAAGCACAGUGAUCUCUAGGAAUGCUAGAGAUCAUGCUACAGUGCAAUACAGCCAGAUGUAAGACCUCCCAAUCAUGUUUUGAGAAUGAGCUCCUGUUCAUGCCACAGUAUACUACUGUCACAGCAACCUUGGGAACACUUUCUUGCUACAACAACCUCUGCCACCAGAGAAAAUUCCUCCUGGUUCUUCUUUUUUGCAUCGAUAUUCACAGAUUAAAAAAGCAGGGACUAUCACGAGUGUCCAUAUUCAUGCUACAAAGGAAAAGAAGAGCAACUAUCUGGCAUCUUUCCAGUGAGAGGAUGGCUGAGCACCUUGCCAAGAUUCCCAGGGGGUUCAGAUGCCCUGUGAUCUAAAGAGUGGCCACAGUUAGUCAAAGGUGGAGGGAGAAUGGAAGAGUAUUCCCUGAAGCACAAAAGGCAUUAGAGAAAGCAUCAAUAUAAAGCUGCCUGCAGUGUCGCCGGAGAAAUGAGCAUCGUGUGGUAUUUCUGCAGUGUAAGAGUCCAUGGAAAGGGUUGGAAGAAGUGAUGGGAAAGCAGAAAAGACUAGAAUGGAAACUAGGUCAGAUUAUAGACCUUGUUAAUUAUCAAGCAAAGGAAUUUGGUGUUUUUUUUAAAUCUGUAAUGGGGAGUCAUGGAGGCUUUGAGCGGGGGAGGGGGGAGAUUUGGCUUGGCGCAUGUAAACCUUAUUGAAAAAGAGAAAUUUAUUUGACACUUGGUUCUUUUUGAUGCUAAUUUCUGCUGUUAGGAUUUGCUUUGUGAAAUGCUUUAGUCUGAAUUUCUAACAAGAUAACUUGGAGAUUUCAUCUUCUUCAAUAUGAUUUUGAUUUUGAAUAAUACAUGAGAAAGAAUGACAUAAAAUCAUUUUCAUAUCCCAUGUCUCAUGAGAUGUUUUAAAAAAGUCCUCAUAGUAAGUGACAUUUCAAAGAAUUUGGCUGGUCUGAAUAUUAGCAGAUGCCCCCCACCCAAAGUAUGACCUAAAAGGGCAUUUCAUCAACUGCUAUAAAUUAUAGUUUUCAUGGGUCUUUUGGUCUCUUGGAAAAUCACUUUGCUAUUUCAUUUUUUCUUUCUUCUCCUCUUCCCUUUUUUCUACCAUUAAAUUAAAUUUGAAUCUGACCACUG